GACUGCUAAGACUGGAUAGGAAACAAAAAGGCAUCUUUUUGUUUUUAAAAGACCUUCUUACGAAGGUAUGCUUAAAGAGGGGCUUGCGCCACAUUAGUUAGUUGGUAGGGUAAAAGCCUACCAAGACGAUGAUGUGUAGCUGGACUGAGAGGUUGAACAGCCACAUUGGGACUGAGACACGGCCCAAACUCCUACGGGAGGCAGCAGUAGGGAAUUUUCGGCAAUGGAGGAAACUCUGACCGAGCAACGCCGCGUGAACGAUGAAGUAUUUCGGUAUGUAAAGUUCUUUUAUUGAAGAAGAAAAAGUAGUGGAAAAACUAUAUUGACGUUAUUCAAUGAAUAAGCCCCGGCUAACUAUGUGCCAGCAGCCGCGGUAAGACAUAGGGGGCGAGCGUUAUCCGGAAUUAUUGGGCGUAAAGGGUGCGUAGGCUGUUAGAUAAGUCUAUAAUUUAAUUUCAGUGCUUAACGCUGUCUUGUUAUAGAAACUGUCUUGACUAGAGUGAGAUAGAGGCAAGCGGAAUUCCAUGUGUAGCGGUAAAAUGUGUAAAUAUAUGGAGGAACACCAGAAGCGUAGGCGGCUUGCUGGGUCUUUACUGACGCUGAGGCACGAAAGCGUGGGUAGCAAACAGGAUUAGAUACCCUGGUAGUCCACGCCGUAAACGAUGAGUACUAAGUGUCGGGGUAAAACUCGGUACUGAAGUUAACACAUUAAGUACUCCGCCUGAGUAGUACGUACGCAAGUAUGAAACUUAAAGGAAUUGACGGGACUCCGCACAAGCGGUGGAUCAUGUUGUUUAAUUCGAAGAUACACGAAAAAUCUUACCAGGUCUUGACAUACUCUGCAAAGCUAUAGAAAUAUAGUGGAGGUUAUCAGGGAUACAGGUGGUGCAUGGUUGUCGUCAGUUCGUGUCGUGAGAUGUUAGGUUAAGUCCUAAAACGAGCGCAACCCUUGUCGUUAAUUGCCAGCACGUAAUGGUGGGGACUUUAGCGAGACUGCCAAUUAAACAUUGGAGGAAGGUGAGGAUUACGUCAAAUCAUCAUGCCCCUUAUGAUCUGGGCUACAAACGUGAUACAAUGGCUGUGACAAAGAGUAGCUGAAACGCGAGUUUUUAGCCAAUCUCAAAAAAGCAGUCUCAGUUCGGAUUGAAGUCUGUAACUCGACUUCAUGAAGUUGGAAUCGCUAGUAAUCGCGAAUCAGCAUGUCGCGGUGAAUACGUUCUCGGGGUUUGUACACACCGCCCGUC
rnacentral:rRNA from 1 species